rnacentral:rRNA from 1 species
GACGAACGCUGGCGGCGUGCUUAACACAUGCAAGUCGAGCGGUAAGGCCCUUUCGGGGGUACACGAGCGGCGAACGGGUGAGUAACACGUGGGUGACCUGCCCUCAGCUCUGGGAUAAGCCUGGGAAACCGGGUCUAAUACCGGAUAUGACUCCAUGACGCAUGUUGUGGGGUGGAAAGCCUUGUGCGGCUGAGGAUGGGCCCGCGGCCUAUCAGCUUGUUGGUGGGGUGANGGCCUACCAAGGCGACGACGGGUAGCCGGCCUGAGAGGGCGACCGGCCACACUGGGACUGAGACACGGCCCAGACUCCUACGGGAGGCAGCAGUGGGGAAUCUUGCGCAAUGGGCGAAAGCCUGACGCAGCGACGCCGCGUGAGGGAUGACGGCCUGGU